rnacentral:rRNA from 1 species
ACCUGCGGAGGAUAUUACCGAGUGAGGGCCCUUUGGGUCCAACCUCCCACCCGUGUUUAUUUACCUCGUUGCUUCGGCGGGCCCGCCUUAACUGGCCGCCGGGGGGCUCACGCCCCCGGGCCCGCGCCCGCCGAAGACACCCCCGAACUCUGCCUGAAGAUUGUCGUCUGAGUGAAAAUAUAAAUUAUUUAAAACUUUCAACAACGGAUCUCUUGGUUCCGGCAUCGAUGAAGAACGCAGCGAAAUGCGAUACGUAAUGUGAAUUGCAAAUUCAGUGAAUCAUCGAGUCUUUGAACGCACAUUGCGCCCCCUGGUAUUCCGGGGGGCAUGCCUGUCCGAGCGUCAUUGCUGCCCUCAAGCCCGGCUUGUGUGUUGGGCCCCGUCCUCCGAUUCCGGGGGACGGGCCCGAAAGGCAGCGGCGGCACCGCGUCCGGUCCUCGAGCGUAUGGGGCUUUGUCACCCGCUCUGUAGGCCCGGCCGGCGCUUGCCGAUCAACCCAAAUUUUUAUCCAGGUUGACCUCGGAUCAGGUAGGGAUACCCGCUGAACUUAA